AGUAGCAACUGACUCUGCUAACACCUUGGUCUGGAACUUCUAGUGUGUAAAAGUGUGAGACAACACAUUUCUGUUGUUUAAGACACACAAUCUGUGGUACUUUGAUACAGCAGCCCUGACAAACUAAUACAUGGGGUGUCUCAUUGUAGUUUUAAUCAGUAACACCCAUUAUGAACUGAAAACGUCUGCUACUUUUAAGGGAAAGGAUUAUUUGAGGACACCAAGAGGUGACCAUCAGCAAGCCUCCAACUUGAAUGCUUCCUGAUUAAAUAUAUACAGGAGUGAUUUCAGAGGAAUUUAAGUUUUGGAUCAUUCUUUUGAGAAAGAAAGAAAAGUACCCUUUUAAAAGAGGGUACUUUCAACAUAAAGACGACGAGGAUAAAGGCAUUUAUGAUGAACUACUUCCACAUAAUGAAUAGUUGAACAAAGGAGAGAAUUGUGAGAGUGAGAAAAAGUGAGACAAAGAAGAAAAACUAUAAAUCAGCAAAAUACAGUGCCAAGAGCUCUGGACCACAAAUCAGAAGACCUGAGCCCUAAUUCCUUUCCAGUCAUUGGAUUUGUUCGUCGCUUGCCAAAAUAGCAGCGAACUCUCUGUCAAACUGCAACUCAUUUUAUCGGAGCAAAAACUGAACAAAGAACUGCUAUCAUUUCUGAGGAUUGAAAAGUACUUUCACAGUUUGUGCAUUACCAAUUCCACCUUUGCAAAUACCACUUCCCAGAGCUGGUGAGAACACCGAAGAACAGAGGCCAGUUGGAGUCAUGGAACCGUCGAGGUGCAGAAUCAGAAUUUGAACCCCAAUAACCUGUCCACAGAGUCAGCUCUCUUAACCUCCAUGCCAUCUCUUAGCCAAUUAACAUUUCUGAAAUUUUUCAUAACUGAAAAAUGAGGAUAAUAGCACCUUCCUUAUUGUCAGAGGCAGUGCAGCUUGUGUUACAACUCAAAAGAGUAAUACUCUGAAAAAAGAAAAAAAAAGAUGGCGCUGAAAAUAAACAUGUUCAGCAGCCAUUGUGAUUCAACUUACCCAGAUGUGCUUUUCAUGAGAUGGAGAAGGACGGAUGGAAAAGAAAAGCACACAAAUGUUAAUGGAUACAGUUCAAUCCAAAGAAAACCAUGGAAUAAAACAAGAGCAUUAUUUAAGAUGUGAGAAAGCUCAGGUAUGAGAAAGACAUGGUGCCAUUUUGUAUUUCAUCAUGACACACAUACUCACUGCGUCGAAAAGCAUAG
rnacentral:lncRNA from 1 species